GGGGGGACAGACCACAAGGUGGAGCAGCAUGGUGGGGUUGGACAGACAACAAGGUGGAGCAGCGUGGUGGGGUUGGACAGACCACAAGGUGGAGCAGCGUGGUGGGGUUGGACAGACAACAAGGUGGAGCAGCGUGGUGGGGUUGGACAGACAACAAGGUGGAGCAGCGUGGUGGGGUUGGACAGACAACAAGGUGGAGCAGCGUGGUGGGGUUGGACAGACAACAAGGUGGAGCAGCGUGGUGGGGUUGGACAGACAACA